rnacentral:rRNA from 1 species
GUCCACGCCGUAAACGAUGGAUGUUAGAUGUUGGAGGUUUCGACCCCUUCAGCAUCGUAAGCUAACGCGUUAAACAUCCCGCCUGGGGAGUACGGCCGCAAGGCUAAAACUCAAAGGAAUUGACGGGAACCCGCACAAGCGGUGGAGCAUGUGGUUCAAUUCGACAGUAAGCGAGGAACCUUACCAGGUCUUGAAAUCCAGCUGCACGCCUCCAGAAACGGAGGAAGCCUUCGAGGGUGCUGGACAGGUGCUGCAUGGCUGUCGU